AGUGAACGCUGGCGGUAUGCCUAACACAUGCAAGUCGAACGGCAGCACAGUAAGAGCUUGCUCUUACGGGUGGCGAGUGGCGGACGGGUGGGGAAUACAUCGGAAUCUACUUUUUCGUGGGGGAUAACGUAGGGAAACUUACGCUAAUACCGCAUACGACCUACGGGUGAAAGCAGGGGAUCUUCGGAGCUUGCGCGAGUGAAUGAGCCGAUUUCGGAUUAGCUAGUGGGCGGGGUAAAGGCCCACCAAGGCGACGAGCCGUAGCUGGUCUGAGAGGAUGAUCAGCCACACUGGAACUGAGACACGGUCCAGACUCCUAAGAGACGCAGCAGUGGGGAAUAUUGGACAACGGGCGCAAGCAUGAUACAGCCAUACCGCGUGGGUGACGAAGGCCUUCCGGUUGUAAAGACCUUCUGUUGGGAAAGAACAGCAGCCGGUUAAGACCCAGCUGUUCUGACGGUACCCAAAGAAUAAGCACCGGCUAACUUCGUG
rnacentral:rRNA from 1 species